rnacentral:rRNA from 1 species
UACGGAGGGGGCUAGCGUUGUUCGGAAUUACUGGGCGUAAAGCGCACGUAGGCGGCUUUGUAAGUUAGAGGUGAAAGCCUGGAGCUCAACUCCAGAAUUGCCUUUAAGACUGCAGAGCUAGCAGGUGAGAGAGGUAAGUGGAAUUCCGAGUGUAGAGGUGAAAUUCGUAGAUAUUCGGAAGAACACCAGUGGCGAAGGCGGCUUACUGGCUCAUACUGGACGCUGAGGUGCGAAAGCGUGGGGAGCAAAC